rnacentral:rRNA from 1 species
UACGGAGGAUGCGAGCGUUAUCCGGAUUUAUUGGGUUUAAAGGGUGCGUAGGCGGACGCUUAAGUCAGCGGUAAAAUUGCGGGGCUCAACCUCGUCGAGCCGUUGAAACUGGGUGCCUUGAGUGGGCGAGAAGUACGCGGAAUGCGUGGUGUAGCGGUGAAAUGCAUAGAUAUCACGCAGAACUCCGAUUGCGAAGGCAGCGUACCGGCGCCCAACUGACGCUGAGGCUCGAAAGCGUGGGGAGCAAACAGG